rnacentral:misc_RNA from 1 species
GUUUGAUGUUGACCAUGAUAAAGAAAGAUCACAAGCACAAGGUCUUGUAAAGUGGAUUUAAUUGUGAUGGAGCUGAUGCUGCUGGCAUUGAUUUUUCUCUAAAUAGGUGAGCAGAAACUGGCUUUAAUUAUUGGUGUGGAUAAAUAUUUAUCUUCUUUCUUAAUUAGCGGUUUCCAAUUUCAUCCUCGUAUUAGUUCCCUGCUCCCCUUUAACUAGAGUUUGAAUAUGAGAUAUUGAGAAAGUGUGCCUUCAGUGCAAGCAAUUUAUUAUUCUUUUUGACAAAGUUCUAUUCUUGGAUCCUUCUUUCUCUUUAAUGCAUCCACAAGGGAGAAAACAAGCAUAUUCAUGGUUGUAUUUGAUUUUAUAGGGUAAUAUCUAUUUUCGAAUGAAAUUUUGAGGGCAAUUUCUGCUUGGUAUGAUGGUCGUGAGUGGUUUAACUUGUUAUGUAAAACUGUGAUGGACCAAGACUGGUCUUGGAAUAAGCCU